rnacentral:rRNA from 1 species
AUUGAACGCUGGCGGCAUGCUUUACACGUGCAAGUCGAACGGCAGCGCGGGCUUCGGCCUGGCGGCGAGUGGCGAACGGGUGAGUAAUGCAUCGGAACGUGCCCAGUAGUGGGGGAGAGCCCGGUGAAAGCCGGAUUAAUACCGCAUAAGACCUGAGGGUGAAAGCGGGGGAGCGAAAGGCCUCGCGCCAUUGGAGCGGCCGAUGUCGGAUUAGCUAGUUGGUGGGGUAAAGGCUUACCAAGGCGACGAUCCGUAGCUGGUCUGAGAGGACGACCAGCCACACUGGAACUGAGACACGGCCCAGACUCCUACGGGAGGCAGCAGUGGGGAAUUUUGGACAAUGGGGGCAACCCUGAUCCAGCCAUGCCGCGUGCGUGAAGAAGGCCUUCGGGUUGUAAACCGCUUUUGUUCGGGAAGAAAACCUCUGGGCUAAUACCCCGGGGGGAUGACGGUACCGGAAGAAUAAGCACCGGCUAACUACGUG